UACGGGGGGGGCAAGCGUUGUUCGGAAUUACUGGGCGUAAAGGGCGCGUAGGCGGUCUGUCAAGUUGGAUGUGAAAACUGUGGGCUUAACCCAUAGCCUGCAUCCAAAACUAGCAGGCUAGAGUUCUGGAGGGGAUAGCGGAAUUCCUGGUGUAGCGGUGAAAUGCGUAGAUAUCAGGAGGAACACCGGUGGCGAAGGCGGCUAUCUGGACAGAGUCUGACGCUGAGGCGCGAAAGCUAGGGGAGCAAACAGG
rnacentral:rRNA from 1 species